AAAGUUUGGGGCGAUGGAGUUCGCCCGAAUCCUGGCUGGCCAGGUGAUGACUCCUACCGUAAA
rnacentral:ncRNA from 2 species